AACGAACGCUGGCGGCAUGCCUAACACAUGCAAGUCGAACGAAGCCUUCGGGCUUAGUGGCGCACGGGUGCGUAACGCGUGGGAAUUUGCCCUUGGGUUCGGAAUAACAGUUAGAAAUGACUGCUAAUACCGAAUGAUGUCUUCGGACCAAAGAUUUAUCGCCCAAGGAUGAGCCCGCGUCGGAUUAGCUGGUUGGUGAGGUAAAGGCUCACCAAGGCGACGAUCCGUAGCUGGUCUGAGAGGAUGAUCAGCCACACUGGGACUGAGACACGGCCCAGACUCCUACGGGAGGCAGCAGUGGGGAAUAUUGGACAAUGGGCGAAAGCCUGAUCCAGCAAUGCCGCGUGAGUGAUGAAGGCCUUAGGGUUGUAAAGCUCUUUUACCCGGGAUGAUAAUGACAGUACCGGGAGAAUAAGCCCCGGCUAACUCCGUGCCAGCAGCCGCGGUAAU
rnacentral:rRNA from 1 species